rnacentral:rRNA from 1 species
UACAGAGGGGGCAAGCGUUAUUCGGAAUUAUUGGGCGUAAAGGGCGCGUAGGCGGCUUUUCAAGUGACGGGUGAAAGCCCUCGGCUUAACCGAGGAACUGCCUGUCAGACUGGAAGGCUUGAGACCGGGAGAGGUGAGUGGAAUUCCCAGUGUAGCGGUGAAAUGCGUAGAUAUCUGGAGGAACACCGGUGGCGAAGGCGGCAUCCUGGACCGACACUGACACUGAGGAGCGAAAGCCAGGGGAGCAAACGGG